rnacentral:rRNA from 1 species
GAUGAACGCUGGCGGCGUGCCUAAUACAUGCAAGUCGAGCGAACAGACGAGGAGCUUGCUCCUCUGACGUUAGCGGCGGACGGGUGAGUAACACGUGGAUAACCUACCUAUAAGACUGGGAUAACUUCGGGAAACCGGAGCUAAUACCGGAUAAUAUAUUGAACCGCAUGGUUCAAUAGUGAAAGACGGUCUUGCUGUCACUUAUAGAUGGAUCCGCGCUGCAUUAGCUAGUUGGUAAGGUAACGGCUUACCAAGGCGACGAUGCGUAGCCGACCUGAGAGGGGGACCGGCAACACGGGACCUGGAACCGGGUCCAGACUCCUACGGGAGGAGGCGGAGGGGAAUCUUCGGCAAUGGGCGAAGGCCUGACGGGGCAACGCCGCGGGGGUGAUGAAGGUCUUCGGUUCGUAAAACUCUGUUAUUAGGGAAGAACAAAUGUGUAAGUACCUAUGCACGUCUUGACGGUACCUAAUCAGAAGGCCCCGGCUAACUCCGUG